CAUCACAGAGGUAACAUCCAAAGUAGUGCUGAAGGUAGGAGGGUCAUGGAUUGCAUUUGUGCACAACGUACCUCAAAGAACAGCUACUGUACAGGUGGAGAGACUCUGGAUCACCUGAACAAAGAUUGUAAUACUUUCUUGCCAAAGCUGGCAUCAUCACAAGAGGCUUGAGUGAUGGCACAGUAACUGGAGACGGUGGAAGAAAACUGUCAGACGUCAAUGUGUCACAAGAUUGGUGUGCUGGUAAUGAUUAAGCAACACAAAGUAACAGAGCACAAAACAUCCAAGUCCUCCAGUGCUGGAUCCGGG